AAAAAAUUCAUCCCUAGUACAUUGUUUAACUAAUUACGGAAAUAAAAGAGAUAGUAAAAUCCUCAUCACCUAGGCGUCACUUUGACAACUGUGCAUAGGCUUGGGAGCUUUGGAAUUUCACGUCUUUCCUAUUUAACAUGUAAUAUGUACUAGGCGACACUUUGACAACUGUGAAUAGGCUUGGGAGCUUUGGAAUUUCACUUCUUUCCUAUUUAACAUGUAAUUUGUAUUGCCAUCGUGAUAGCAUGGGUGACUUGGAGAGUUGGUCGAUGGAAACAUUCCCGGUCAUCAGGGAGCAUGUGCUUAUGUGUCCUCUUUGAAAUUUAUAUUGAAGUUGAUGACUGAGAGGAUUAUUUUGCAGAUGAAUAUCCAAUUUUUGUCUCAAGGUCAUCCAUGUAAUGAUGUUAGUUGGAUUACUGGGGAUUGUCGUAUCAUUUAACAUACUGAACUGAGUGGUCUUGAUGCUACUUUCUCUAGGUUCCAGGACCGAGUGCAGAUCUUUUUGGCUGUUCUUUUCUGGAUGUCUCUAUUUUUCUGGGCUUGUGCAUGGGGUGAGAGGAAUGAUGGAAGACCUAGUAAGGGAUCUCGAUUUAGAAGAUAAUUUUUGUGGUAUCAAGUGUGACCUCAAUUAGAGCUGAUUGGAGGGCAAAGAUCCACGUAGCCGACCUCAUUUAGCUGGGAUAAGGCUGAGUAGUAGUAAUUGUUGUUUUUGUAAAUAAUUAGAUAUAUAUGAGUAUCAGCAUAUACAUAAAGAGUAUUUGAAAGUGUUCUGAAGUCUUGCCUUUGUAUGGUCCUUCAAAAUAUCAGUUGGGGUAAUGAACAUCUUUGUAUGACAUUGUUGUGAAUCAAAUUUCCAAGAUUUAGAUGUUCCAAA